GACAGAGGAGGCGAGCGUUAUCCGGAGUUAUUGGGCGUAAAGGGUACGUAGGCGGCUGGUCAAGUCUGGGGUUAAAGACCACAGCUUAACUGUGGGGGGGCCUUGGAAACUGACCGGCUGGAGUGGGGCAGGGGUUGCGGGAAUUCCCGGUGUAGCGGUGAAAUGCGUAGAUAUCGGGAAGAACACCUGUGGCGAAGGCGGGCGACUGGGACCUACCUGACGCUGAGGUACGAAAGCUAGGGGAGCAAACCGG
rnacentral:rRNA from 1 species